GAACAUGGGGUCUGGUACGAUAGGAUGACUAGUCUGGUAGAAUAGGGUACUAAAGGAGGACUAAUCUGGUAGAACAUGGUACUAUAGGAGGACUAACCUGGUAGAACAUGGGGUCUGGAACUAAAGGAGGACUAAUCUGGUAGAAAAUGGUUCUAUAGGAGGACUAAUCUGGCAGAACAUGGUACUUACUAUAGGAGGACUAAUCUGGUAGAACAUGGGGUCUGGAACUAAAGGAGGACUAAUCUGGAAGAACAUGGUACUAUAGGAGGACUAAUCUGGUAAAACAUGGUUCUAUAGGAGGACUAAUCUGGAAGAACAUGGUACUAUAGGAGGACUAAUCUGGCAGAACAUGGUUCUAUAGGAGGACUAAUCUGGUAGAACAUGGUACUAAAGGAGGACUAAUCUGGUAGAGCAUGGGGUCUGGUACUAUAGGAGGACUAAUCUGGUAGAACAAGGGGUCUGGUACUAUAGGAGGACUAAUCUGGUAUAACAUGGUACUAUAGGAGGACUAAUCUGGUAGAACAUGGGGUCUGGUACUAUAGGAGGACUAAUCUGGUAGAAUGUGGUACUAAUGGAGGACUUAUCUGGUAGAUCGUGGGGUCUGGUACUAAAGCAGGACUAAUCUGGUAGAACAUGGGGUCUGGUACUAUAGGAGACUUAUCUGGUAGAACAUGAGGUCUGGUAUGGAGUGCCAGGUACUGGGUCCUACUCAGGAGGGUGACACACAGCCAGGACACUAAUACCUGAUUCCUACCAUAGGGCUGACCCAACUUGUACCUCGCUGGCUUUGAUUUAUGAUCCGUUUGGCAGCUUUGGUGGAUUUGUAACCAGACCAGCCUAGACCAGCCUAGUUCAGCUGCUAGAUGUUUAACCAGACCAGCCUAGUUCAGCUGGUAGAUGUUUAACCAGACCAACCUAGUUCAGCUGGUAGAUGUUUAACCAGACCAGCCUAGACCAGCCUAGUUCAGCUGGUAGAUGUUUAACCAGACCAGCCUAGUUCAGCUGGUAGAUGUUUAACCAGACCAGCCUAGACCAGCCUAGUUCAGCUGGUAGAUGUUUAACCAGACCAGCCUAGUUCAGCUGGUAGAUGUUUAACCAGACCAGCCUAGACCAGCCUAGUUCAGCUGGUAGAUGUUUAACCAGACCACCCUAGACCAGCCUAGUACAGCCGCUAUAUGUUUAACCAGGCCAGCCUAGUUCAGCUGGUAGAUGUUUAACCAGACCAGCCUAGACCAGCCUAGUUCAGCUGCUAGAUGAUUAACCAGACCAGCCUAGUUCAGCUGCUAGAUGUUUAACCAGACCAGCCUAGUUCAGCCGCUAGAUGUUUAACCAGACCAGCCUAGUUCAGCUGGUAGAUGUUUAACCAGACCACCCUAGACCAGCCUAGUUCAGCUGGUAGAUGUUUAACCAGACCAGCCUAGUUCAGCUGCUAGAUGUUUAACCAGACCAGCCUAGUUCAGCUGGUAGAUGUUUAACCAGACCACCCUAGACCAGCCUAGUUCAGCUGGUAGAUGUUUAACCAGACCAGCCUAGUUCAGCUGCUAGAUGUUUAACCAGACCAGCCUAGUUCAGCUGGUAGAUGUUUAACCAGACCAGACUAGUUCAGCUGGUAGAUGUUUAACCAGACCAGCCUAGUUCAGCUGGUAGAUGUUUUUACGGUACAUGUUUGCUGUCAUUGGGGGAGGGCGUGGCUUUACGGUACAUGUUUGCUAUCAUUGGGGGGGAGGAGUGGCUUUACGGUACAUGUUUGCUGUCAUUGGUUAAUCAUCGUAAGUGUGAUUAUCCUUUUUGCUUCAUGCAUGCCAGUAAUAUAGUGUAGUUUAACCGUAGAGCAGGACUCUACUGAUGCUAUGCUUAGGCUGGACUGCACUGAGACACCCAUGGCAGUAUUGGAG